GACUAUCCUCGACAAAAAUUAAAAGUUAAGGGUUGAAAAGAUCUAACCAAUGGGAUGCAAUCCAAUAGACAAGAAUGUCAUAUAGAAACUCAUUUUCCUCUAGACUUUAUCAAGCAACAAGCAUAAGCAAUAUUCAAGCAAACCAUAUGAAGACCAAGGCAUCAAAUAAAGAUAUCCAUAAUAUCCAAGCAAGCACUCCAAUAGCUAGCAGUUUUC
rnacentral:lncRNA from 1 species